rnacentral:rRNA from 2 species
UUAGGUUAAGUUAUGAAGGGCGCAUGGUGAAUGCCUUGGUACUAGGAGCCGAUGAAGGACGGGACUAACACCGAUAUGCUUCGGGGAGCGGUAAGUACGCUUUGAUCCGGAGAUUUCCGAAUGGGGCAACCCAAUCAGCUUAGUCGCUGAUUACUUGACUAGUGAAUACAUAGCUAGCAAGAGGUAGACGCAGUGAACUGAAACAUCUUAGUAGCUGCAGGAAGAGAAAGAAACAUCGAUUCCCUGAGUAGCGGCGAGCGAAAAGGGAAGAGCCCAAACCAACAAGCUUGCUUGUUGGGGUUGUAGGACUGAACAUUAGAGUUACCAAAGUGCGACGUAGUCGCAACAGUUGGGAAGCUGUGCCAUAGAGGGUGAAAGCCCCGUAGACGAAACGUCACACUCUCUGUUCAGGAUCCUGAGUACGGCGGGACACGUGAAACCCCGUCGGAACCCGCGAGGACCAUCUCGCAAGGCUAAAUACUCCCUAGUGACCGAUAGUGAACCAGUACCGUGAGGGAAAGGUGAAAAGCACCCCGGAAGGGGAGUGAAAUAGUUCCUGAAACCAUGUGCCUACAAGCUGUCGGAGCCCGUUAAUGGGUGACGGCGUGCCUCUUGCAGAAUGAACCGGCGAGUUACGAUUGCAUGCAAGGUUAAGGUGGAAAAACCGGAGCCGUAGCGAAAGCGAGUCUUAAAUGGGCGUAAGAAGUAUGUAGUUGUAGACCCGAAACCAGGUGACCUACCCAUGUCCAGGUUGAAGGUGCGGUAAAGCGCACUGGAGGACCGAACCCGUGUCAGUUGAAAAUGGCUGGGAUGAGGUGUGGGUAGCGGUGAAAUUCCAAACGAACUUGGAGAUAGCU